AACGGGAGAUGCAAGCGUUAUCCGGAAUCACUGGGCGUAAAGCGUCUGUAGGUGGUGAUGCAAGUCACUGGUGCAAAACUCUGGCUCAACCGGAGGAAAGCCAGUGAAACUGCAUGACUAGAGUGAGGGAGAGGUAGAAGGAAUUCCCUGAGUAGCGGUGAAAUGCGUAGAUACAGGGAAUAACACCGGAGGCGAAAGCGUUCUACCGGAUCACAACUGACACUGAGAGGCGAAAGCUAGGGGAGCGAAUGGG
rnacentral:rRNA from 1 species